AACGCGAAGAACCUUACCUGGGUCUGACAUGCACAGGACGCCGGUAGAGAUAUCGGUUCCCUUGUGGCCUGUGUGCAGGUGGUGCAUGGCUGUCGUCAGCUCGUGUCGUGAGAUGUUGGGUUAAGUCCCGCAACGAGCGCAACCCUUAUCUUCAGUUGCUACCAUUUAGUUGAGCACUCUGACGAAACCGCCUCGGAUAACGGGGAGGAAGGUGGGGAUGACGUCAAGUCCUCAUGGCCUUUAUGUCCAGGGCUACACACGUGCUACAAUGGCCGGUACAAACCGCUGCAACCCCGCGAGGGUGAGCUAAUCGGAAAAAGCCGGCCUCAGUUCGGAUUGGAGUCUGCAACUCGACUCAAUGAAGCUGGAAUCGCUAGUAAUCGUGGAUCAGCAUGCCACGGUGAAUACGUUCCCGGGCCUUGUACACACCGCUCGCGA
rnacentral:rRNA from 1 species